CUUACUGAAACCUCCAUCUCCCAGGUUCAAGCGAUUCUCAUGCCUCAGCCACUUGAGUAGCUGGGACUACAGGAUUUUGCCAUGUUCCCCAGGCUGGUCUCAAACUCCUGAACUCAGGCAGCCCGCCUACCUUGGCCUCCCAAAGUGCUAGGAUUACAGCCCAAAUGACCCUCCAAGACCCUCUGGAGGCACCCGCAGUGCUCCUUAAUUUGCAGCUCUGCAGAAUGAGACCAGCGUGGCAGCCCCCUUUCAGGACAGCUCCCGAGACGAGACGCGAGAGCAGCCCCUAAGUCUCACCCAGCAAAGCCGUUUCUUCCUAACUGGGCUGGGGAAUGCCGCGCGCUGCCAGCAGAUGGCGACAGAGGAUUAGCCUGCGGAAACCGGGUAAGGGGAGGGCGGAGCUGAGGUGAGAACCCACAUCCCUCAUGCCCAGUGGCAGCAGGCCACUGGUUUGCCCAGUCCUCACUUCUCUUGGACAGAGCUUGAGCCUUCUGGGAAACUGCUUUUCCCU
rnacentral:lncRNA from 1 species